CGUAGAUGAACGCUGGCGGCAGGCCUAACACAUGCAAGUCGAGCGGUAGAGAGAAGCUUGCUUCUCUUGAGAGCGGCGGACGGGUGAGUAAUGCCUAGGAAUCUGCCUGGUAGUGGGGGAUAACGUUCGGAAACGGACGCUAAUACCGCAUACGUCCUACGGGAGAAAGCAGGGGACCUUCGGGCCUUGCGCUAUCAGAUGAGCCUAGGUCGGAUUAGCUAGUUGGUGAGGUAAUGGCUCACCAAGGCGACGAUCCGUAACUGGUCUGAGAGGAUGAUCAGUCACACUGGAACUGAGACACGGUCCAGACUCCUACGGGAGGCAGCAGUGGGGAAUAUUGGACAAUGGGCGAAAGCCUGAUCCAGCCAUGCCGCGUGUGUGAAGAAGGUCUUCGGAUUGUAAAGCACUUUAAGUUGGGAGGAAGGGUUGUAGAUUAAUACUCUGCAAUUUUGACGUUACCGACAGAAUAAGCACCGGCUAACUCUGUGCCAGCAGCCGCGGUAAUACAGAGGGUGCAAGCGUUAAUCGGAAUUACUGGGCGUAAAGCGCGCGUAGGUGGUUUGUUAAGUUGGAUGUGAAAUCCCCGGGCUCAACCUGGGAACUGCAUUCAAAACUGACUGACUAGAGUAUGGUAGAGGGUGGUGGAAUUUCCUGUGUAGCGGUGAAAUGCGUAGAUAUAGGAAGGAACACCAGUGGCGAAGGCGACCACCUGGACUAAUACUGACACUGAGGUGCGAAAGCGUGGGGAGCAUAACAGGAUUAGAUACCCUGGUACUCCACGCCGUAAACGAUCUCAAACUAGCCGUUGAAGCCCUUGAGCUUUUAGUGGCGCAAGCUAACGCAUUGAGUUGACCUCCC
rnacentral:rRNA from 1 species